UUGUCUUCCAGCUUCACACCAUUGGCCAGGAGGGUAUUGGCAAACCGCUUCUCCCACUGCAGCUGCCCCUGGGCAGCGGGGUCGGCUGGAAGGAAGGAGAAAAAGAGGGCGGGGUAAGUCAGUGUGACCCUGUCAGUUCCACUCUCCACAUCCUGGCCCUCAAGUUCUGCCCACCCCCCACAUCCGGUUCCUGUCCCCUCUGUUUGUCUUCCCACAUCCCAUCUGGCCAUGAGGUUCUGAGUCUCCCCCUCAAGUGCUAGGUAUCCUCCACCCUCUCCUUGAGCUCAGUGAGUCCUUCUCACACUGUCUCCCGGGUCUGUCUAUCCUCAACCUGGGUUCAGCCCCCAAACCCUAUCCCUCCCCGUCCCAUCUGCUUCUUCAGCCCCCAGGAACAGCCUCAGAACUCUUACCUACAACAUGGGCGACAGGCUUAUCUCUUGAGGCUUGAGAAGAUGAUCCUGAAGAGGAAAGAAGAAAGAAGAAGAUUUUUCUACAGAGCAAAGGCUCCAAAGAAUACGCUACUGGGGCUGAGGAGCAGGUGGGAGAUGCCGUCUGUGUGAGUGGAUAGCUGGUCUCCCCGGGAUCUCUUCCUCAACCUCAGAAGGAGAUGUUUAUCUGGAAGGCCAAGAUUGGGCUGCCCAGAGACAAGCCCAGGUUUGUUUCUGCCCCAGGAUGGGGCAGAAGCUGGAUGGAGGGAACUGAGAAUGGGGCUCUAGAGGAGGAGACACAGGACUGAGAAGGCAGAGAGGAGAGAUGGCCUCGGGUGUGGAUCCCUGAUUGCCCAAGAACAGACAACCCAGGUUACAUAAUUUGGCUCUUUCCACCUCCUUCCCCUGCUCCUAACUUUAGCAACCAAAAUUCCACUCCCCAACAGGGCUCUUCCUCCAUCCAUCCUGCUUCUAUCCCUCAUCCUCCCAUAGCCUCCUCAUGGUCCUCCAGCUCCAGCUGCCCCCAAUUCAGAUCAUUCAGUGACUCAGCAAAGGGAAAGCCCUGUGUUGGGGGACGGGGGUGUUAAGUGGGGAGGAGGAUGUGGUUCUGGUUGGGGAGCUGAGGAGGGGAGGGAAACUGCUUUUGUUCCCCUUUUUGCCUCCGUUCACAUCUAUUUCUCCAACCACUGACUAAAGAGCGGAGAGGAGCCCAGCAUAGGGAGUGGAGAGACCAGAGGGCAAACUGGGCCUUCUUAGGGCUGCCCUUGUGGGAAGGCAGGCAGGCGGGCAAACAGGGAGCUUCUAGUUUCCAGCUGAGGGCACGAGUUAGUGUGUGCAUGCAUGGUGCAGGUGUGUAGGAGCUGUGGGUUUGGCAGGCGGAGCGGGAAAGGAGAUGUCAUGGGUGAUGAAAACCACAGCAAUGGAAAAAGGCAGAGGAGACACCAGGAGUGAGAUGUGGAACCAGGUCUUAUUAGGAAAUGGCAGAGUCAAGGAGCAGUGGUGGUGGCCCACAUCCCCCCACCCCCGCUCAUUACAAGUUUUGCUCCCACCCCAUAUCCUCUGCUGUUCAGCACCACAGGCCUCCUCCUUGUCAUCCCCUUCCUACUGCCCUGCACUCCCUGCAGUUUCUUGCUUUUUCCCUGGGGUCACUUGAGGGCCUCCGCAUGGCGAUUCAGGGCCUGAGAAAGGGCGGUCACAGCUCCCAUCACACGGCCCAGCUCCCAGGUCUCAAUCUGGCUUCGGAAUCGCUGCAGGAAGCGGUCGGGGUGCCAGCGGACCUGCUGGACCCUCAAGUACCUCCUCAGAGCCCCCUGCUCCUCCAAAGGGGGGCCCCUGGCCACCAGAGCUGCAGCCAUGGCCUCCGGGUCCCCUCCCCCAGGGCAGGGCCAGGGUACAUCGCCAAAGCGCCAGAGGCUGCCCCUCCCUGCUCCUCUGGGGUGCUCUGCCCUGGGCCCUGCCCUGGCUGGCUCCUGCACUCGGUCCCCGGGAGCCUCCU